AUUGAACGCUAGCGGGAUGCCUUACACAUGCAAGUCGAACGGAGUGGCGAACGGGUGAGUAAUGUAUCGGAACGUGCCCAGUAGCGGGGGAUACCUACGCGAAAGCGUAGCUAAUACCGCAUACUAAUGGAGCGGCCGAUAUCGGCUUAGCUAGUUGGUGGGGUAACGGCUUACCAAGGCGACGAUCCGUGGCUGGUUUGAGAGGACGACCCGCCACCCUGGGACUGGGACACGGCCCGGACUCCUACGGGAGGCAGCAGUGGGGAACUUUGGCCAAUGGGGGAAACCCUGACCCAGCCAUCCCGCGUGUGCGAUGAAGGCCUUCGGGUUGUAAAGCCCUUUUGGCAGGAAAGCGGUACCUGCAGAAUAAGCACCGGCUAACUACGUGCCAGCCGCCGCGGUAAUU
rnacentral:rRNA from 1 species